AUUCCCGGUGUAGCGGUGAAAUGCGUAGAUAUCGGGAAGAACACCAGUGGCGAAGGCGCUCUGCUGGGCCAUCACUGACGCUCAUGGACGAAAGCCAGGGGAGCGAAAGAGAUUAGAUACCCCUGUAGUCCUGGCCGUAAACGAUGAACACUAGGUGUCGGGGGAAUCGACCCCUCCGGUGUCGUAGCCAACGCGUUAAGUGUUCCGCCUGGGGAGUACGCACGCAAGUGUGAAACUCAAAGGAAUUGACGGGGGCCCGCACAAGCGGUGGAGUAUGUGGUUUAAUUCGAUGCAACGCGAAGAACCUUACCAGGGUUUGACAUCCUGCGAAUCUCUUGGAAACUUGAGAGUGCCUUCGGGAGCGCAGUGACAGGUGGUGCAUGGCUGUCGUCAGCUCGUGUCGUGAGAUGUUGGGUUAAGUCCCGCAACGAGCGCAACCCACGUCUUUAGUUGCCAGCAUUUAGUUGGGCACUCUAGAGAGACCGCCGGUGAUAAACCGGAGGAAGGUGUGGAUGACGUCAAGUCAUCAUGCCCCUUACAUCCUGGGCUACACACGUACUACAAUGCUACGGACAAAGGGCAGCAAGUUCGCGAGGACAAGCAAAUCCCAUAAACCGUGGCUCAGUUCAGAUCGUAGGCUGCAACUCGCCUACGUGAAGGAGGAAUCGCUAGUAAUCGCAGGUCAGCAUACUGCGGUGAAUACGUUCCCGCGCCUUGCACACACCGCCCG
rnacentral:rRNA from 1 species